ACCUCCUUGAUAGGGAGGCUAAUAGGGGCUCAAACCCCCUCACUUCCU
rnacentral:tRNA from 1 species